GGGGAUGCUGCAGAGCCCGUCCCUGUGCAUCACAGGCAAGCUGACCCUGAGGGCAUUGACUCUGGUGCUGUAUGGCAGACGUGGCCCCAGCACAGCACAGGGGUGGGUGCUCUCUGCUUUAACCCCAAUGGAAGCUGCUCUGGUUUUGGACCUUUCGUGUGCGUGAACUUGGAUGCAUUUUCCAGCCACACAUCCCUCCAGAUACUUCCCACAGUUUCCUGCAGGACAUGCACAGACUUGUUACUCCUCCUCGCCCUUGUCUGGGAAGUUGCAGGACUCAGACCAUCGGAUGCUUCCCCAAAACUAUUCGCUGGUGCAGGGGCUCCGCUGACGGAGCAGAGCCCGGACCUCUGGGUGAAAACCCCGCAGGAGAGGCCAGGGGCAGGCCUGCAGCACAGGACAGGGCUAGGCAGUGCCUGGGGACAAGGGGUGCAUCACCCCCGAGCCGGACACCCGAGGCGCGUUACUCCAUCAUUCCCCUUCCCAUUUGAAUUCCGCCCUCCAGCGACCCAGGAAAGACCGCGGUGGGAUGCGGAGCCCCCUCCAGCCAGCAAAAACGCCGUUGCUGAAGAUCCCAGCGUCUCUUGCUUGGCAAGGGGGCGGCCCCCGUUUCCUGCAUCCGCUGAUGGGGGGUUCCCGCAUCGCCCCGCGGCCCCUGUCCGGCAGGCCCCACAUCCCCCCGGACGCCCCGGGUCGGGGCCGGGGUGGGGCCGAGACGCGGGGGCGGGGGGGGGAAAUCCCGGGAGACGCCGUGAGCGGCGGGAGGCACCGCCCCGGCCCGCCCCGCCCCGCUAUAAAGGGCGGAGAGCGGCACCGGGCAGCGACGGGAGCGGCGACGCGAGGGUGAGUGCGGCGGCGACGGCGCUCGGUGCGGGCCGCAUCGCCCUGCGGGCACUGGUGCUCGCCGGGGUCAGGCUGCAGGAGGAGGAGGAGGCGGCAGCGGCAGCAGCAGCUCCUACUCCUACUCCUCUUCCUCCUCCUCCUCCUCCUCCUCCUCCUCGCUGCCGCCGCUGCUGCAGCAGCUGGGAGGGCGGUGGCUGUGCGCCGGUAACGGGGGAGCGGGGAGGUGGCGGCCGGGUUUAG
rnacentral:lncRNA from 1 species